GGGGAUUUAGCUCAGAUGGUAUAGCACUUGCUUUGCAUGGGAGAGGUAGUGGGAUCGAUGCCCACAUUCUCCU
rfam:Alligator mississippiensis ScZkoYb_35, whole genome shotgun sequence.